UUGAACGCUGGCGGCAGGCCUCACCCAUGCAAGUCGAGCGGAUGAAGGGAGCUUGCUCCUGGAUUCAGCGGCGGACGGGUGAGUAAUGCCUAGGAAUCUGCCUGGUAGUGGGGGAUAACGUCCGGAAACGGGCGCUAAUACCGCAUACGUCCUGAGGGAGAAAGUGGGGGAUCUUCGGACCUCACGCUAUCAGAUGAGCCUAGGUCGGAUUAGCUAGUUGGUGGGGUAAAGGCCUACCAAGGCGACGAUCCGUAACUGGUCUGAGAGGAUGAUCAGUCACACUGGAACUGAGACACGGUCCAGACUCCUACGGGAGGCAGCAGUGGGGAAUAUUGGACAAUGGGCGAAAGCCUGAUCCAGCCAUGCCGCGUGUGUGAAGAAGGUCUUCGGAUUGUAAAGCACUUUAAGUUGGGAGGAAGGGCAGUAAGUUAAUACCUUGCUGUUUUGACGUUACCAACAGAAUAAGCACCGGCUAACUUCGG
rnacentral:rRNA from 1 species